UGAUUUUAUAUCUGCUCCUCUCAUUCUAUAUCUGUGCCUCUAUAUAUGUAUACUGAUAUGUCGUGAUUUUGAUUUGUAUGUGAUUGGAUUGUUAUGUGAGGAAUUGAGUGUUUCCGGGAGGGAGUUCUAUGGACCCCGAUGUGAUUGAGAUUCCUCUGCCGACGCUGAUUGAUCGGAUUUCGAAAUCAAAAACUCUUAAACAUAAGGAGGUGAAUUGUUUUUUUAAAAAAAUUUGAUUGUUAAAACUGUGUGGCCAUCUCGUGAAGCCAUUUUGGUGUAAGCAAUUGGGAGUUGCGCCUGUGUCUAUAACCUCAAUUCGACUUUGAGAAAAGAAUUCGAAGAUAGUGUAUAUUUUGGAAUCCGUAGAACCAAUUGAUGAUUUUGAUGCAUGUUUCCAGUUUUGCCCUGAGUCCAUACAGGAUCAGGAUGCGGAGCAAGUCCGGAUAUUCUUCCUCUACCGGGUGGUGGGAUAUCUGUAGUCCAUGCAGGAUCAGGAUCCGGAGCAGGUCCGGAUAUUCUCCCUCUACCGGGCGGUGGGCUAUCUGUAGACUGUAGGUUGCUUACGUCUCAGACCAACUACAAAAUGAAAGUGCUACAGAUGAUCAUGCAAUGGUUAGGCAUCAAGCGGCUGAAGCUCUUGGUUAUAUAAUAGGGCCAAAAAGAAUUAUGAAUAAGGUGAGUACACUUGCCAGUUUGCAACACCCUUCUAUUUGCAAAUUACUUGGAUUUCAUGACUAGGAUGGUUACAUUGGAGGAUGCUAUUGUAUGGGAGGUUAUAUCAUGGAAGAUUAGACCGUCUUUUAUAUGAAAAAUCUGAUGAACCUCUAUUAGAUUCGAAUGCCCGAAUGAAAAGUCCCUAACAAUAGGUGAAUGUAGAUUUAAAGUAUUCAUGUUUAAUUUGUCUGGUUGCUUGUAUCAUAAAUAAUUAGACUUGCUUUUCAAAAUUUCUUCUCCAAGUGUAAAAUUUCUUGAUCUUACUAA